UACGAAGGGGGCUAGCGUUGCUCGGAAUCACUGGGCGUAAGCGCACGUAGGCGGAUCUUUCAGUCAGGGGUGAAAUCCUGGAGCUCAACUCCAGAACUGCCUUUGAUACUGGGGAUCUCGAGUCCGGGAGAGGUGAGUGGAACUGCGAGUGUAGAGGUGAAAUUCGUAGAUAUUCGCAAGAACACCAGUGGCGAAGGCGGCUCACUGGCCCGGUACUGACGCUGAGGUGCGAAAGCGUGGGGAGCAAACAGG
rnacentral:rRNA from 1 species